ACUAUCAAACUUUUAAUUUCAAGUUUUUUUCUCGAUCUGGACCUCUUACUAUAGCUGUUACUUUAUAUGUGAUGCGCAUGUGUUAGUUUUGGAUGUUGAAUUUUGGCCCUAGUCUUGAGAAAAAGCUGGGUCCGCCACUGCCCCUCGCGGCUCACGCUCACCUUCUGUCAUCACCAGACACCAGGGUCCUCGACCUCGAGCUGACGCUACGUCUGAGCCUCAUGGCCGUCCUCCUCCACCAUGUACUGAACUCGAUCACGGCGAGCUCCUGACGCUGUAUCCACUUCUCCGUCGAGCCCACCCUGCUUCCUCUUCUUCCACAGCACCUGAUGUGAGAGAGGAAGAGGCCUCUCGAUGCGGAAGGAAGGAGGGCGCCAGGGAGUGGAGCGCAGUGCGCCGGGAUCCAUCGAGGGCAGGCCGCGAGCUCCACUGCAGCAGCACCGGAGCUGACCACUGCCUUCCGUGUCCUUCGGCGCUCAAAGAAGAUCCGGCUACAGCUGCGCUCGCUUCAAACUCCACCCCCCCCCCCCCCCCCCCCCCCCGGGGACAGGCCCCGCUCGUGGUUGUAUCACUACAGAUGGUGUCAACUCGCUUCCUCCCUUCUGCUCAGCUCUCAAUCUCCUCAGCGUUUGCAUCAGCAAAAUUAGGAGCUCAAUACUGGAUCCGCCGCACUGACCAACAAAUGGUGUAUUCCAAGGCUCAGCCAUCCCAUUAUACAGGAAAGUUGUGUCAUGUUCUUCCACUACUAAUCCUUCACGGAUGUUAUGUUUGUGAACUGUGAAAAUUAUAUGCUCACUCUCUACCCUUUCUUAAAAAGUUAAUUGGUAAGAUUGCUGCACACCUGAAUUGUCAUGUAUGUUGAGUUUUUUUCUAAUCCGCAUACUAUCUCCUUAAGGCCUUAAAAAUACCUCUACUUUAUGUUUAUGUUUAUGAUAUAAUAUAAUGUGAUACCUAAUUCAGCAAUUCACAGUAUAGUUUCACUUUUAAAGACAAUUUCAUUUGGCCCAUACUGAAUUUUGUAGAACAGACACCUUCCAAAGGUUAGUGGUUAACUUUGCUUCAUUAGAUUUUUUUACUCCCUUUUGUCUUAGGUUUAAUUUUUGUUGUAUUAUAUGUGUUUACACCAAAUAACUCAUGAUGUUCCACGCUGAUAUUUGGUACGUGCAUAUUAUGGUUGUUCUUAAGCCCUCAGCCGCCAAUGUAUAUGUGUUCAAAAUUAUAUAUGCAUCCAGAAAGCGUGUACCUAACUACUUAAGCCUGUAGAAGCAGGCCAUGCAGCUCACUGGUGGAAUGGGGCACAGAGCUGGUCAAAAGCCAAGGUGCCAUCACUGACUGAUAUGUCACAGGGAUAGUUGCUGACAAAAGUUAGAAGAACAUGAUGAAGGUGCACCUUCUAGAGCAGCAUGGAGCAGACAUUAAGUGAUACCUUAUUCAUCAGGACCUUAUGCCAUAUAUGUGAGCUAUUGCUGUUUUCGGUUUGAACUGAAACCUUUUCUCAUAUAUAUGAGUAGAUUUUGAAAAGGUGGAAGAUGUAAUUUAAGUUAUGCAGGAACUGUGUAUUGAAGUGAGGCUUCUAUAGUAUUAUUAUCACAAAGAAUGUGGUAAUAUGUUAAAAUCU